GCAGUAAUGGGGUGUCCGGCGCCCAUAGAAAGCCUCCUGGAUCUGGAUGACCUCCCCCGAGCCACAGUGCAUGGUGGCAUUGAGGCCCUCGCAGGCCAGACUCUGGCCGACACCUGUGGCAAAGGGCUAAAUGUUUCACGAGGAGCCAUCAGCUUGUGGGAACUAUGCGAUAAAAGAAAAACAGCAGGAAAGCUAGAGUUAUGGAUGGUAAAGAAACCAAGUUGUGCUCAUAUCCAGCUCUAGUGUCUGGAGUGGCCACUCUGCCCAGAUGAUAUUCACAUUCUCCCAGCGUGGCUUCAAUCCUAAUGAAGACUUUUUUCUGCUCUCUGACUCAUCACAUUGCCACUCAUGGCUAUAAGAGAGUAAAUAUUUCCUACACAAUUUAUAUGAUGUCAUCAUGAAAAUAAGCUUUUAAAACUUCAAACCUGCCAUUCCUCACCCACUGUCUAAACCCUGCAACAGACUCCUGGGCACAGAAUUCAUCUGGGUGAUGUCAGCUCUCAAUGUGCCUUAACCUCUGUGUAUGUGAAGAAAAGACACAGGACAUGACUGGACCCAUGUGAGCCUGAUUCCAGGGAUCCAGUCCAGCUGCCCAAGCCUCCAAAUCCUGGUUUGCAUUAUCAGCAAGUGAAAACAGAAAGAGAGCAGGUUUGGUUUAAAUAGGGCAUUGAGUCUGUAAAAAGAACCGGAAAGCUAUUCAUGCCCUGCAGCCCAGACAUCCCAGUCUUAGGAACAGACCCACGUUAGUCUGGCUUCCCUCAGAAACCUGAGACAAGAACUCAAGUGCAAGCAGUUUAUUUGGAAAACAGUGCAAUUCUACAUGAAUUGGUGUGUUUGUUGGUCAUAUUGAAUCUUUGUCACUUAUUUGAUCAAUAAGACUACAAAGCAAAAGAAUUUUCAGUUUCAUCCCCCUAAUACAUUUUCAUUUCUUUGUGCUUCCUUUGAAUGCUUCUUCUCUUGAAGAUAAACAAACAUUUUACUCAGGCACAAUCAUAGUACACAUAUAACUAGCUCACAUUGAAUCCUGCCUUUCCCUCUUAGCAUUAUAGUAAGUCUUUUCCACGUUGCUAAAUGGCUUUGAAAUCAGCAUGGUGGUGGCUGAGUCUCCUUUCCUGAAUGGACCUUUAGUAGUCCAUUCCCAUUUGCUAGAUUUUGUGUGUGAUUUUCUCCAUCUAUUCAGUUUUGCUAUCCUAGUCAACACUGCUAUGAACGUCUUCUGAGUUAUCUCUUGAGGGUUAUAGCAGACACUGGCAUGUAAGGCUUCUCAAUGCAGGCACCCCGUGGCUCUUUGCCUCCCUCUGCACACAAGGAACGGGAUGAAAGUUUCUGGAAGUUAGCCUCUCAGGAGAAACUCUCACUGUUAUUGACCAAAGUUGCUGGGUCAGUCCCUCAGCUCUCUCAAGAUCACUCUGAGGCAUGUUCACACCAUCUCCAGAGUUCCCCCCUGAGGGAGCUCAGUUGUCCCAGAUGGUAAUGGCCUUGAUAAUACACUGUUAAUGUCCACCACAGGCUUCCUGGGUGGCUCAGUGGUGAAGAAUCUGCCUGCCAAGCAGGAGACACAGGUUUGAUCCCUGGGUUGGGAAGAUACCCUGGAGAAAGAAAUGGCAACCCACUCCAGUAUUCUCACCUGGGAAAUCCCAUGGACAGCAGAGCCUGGCAGGCUACAGUCCAUGGCGUCGCAAAGAGUCAGACUCGACUCAGUGACUAAAUGACAUCAGUGAUGUCUGCCCUCCCGGUCUCACUGCCCACUCCCUCACUGGCGUGUCCUGGGUUCCCACCCCAGAUAAACCGUCUGUGCACUGGAAUCUCGGUCUCCGAGAUUCCACGCUCAGCCAAGUCUCUUCUCGGGACUGGGGUGCUGCCCACAGGGCAUGAACAUCUCUGUGAUUCUUGCUAUAGACUCAACACCUAUUUAAACCAAAUUAAUAAUCUCGCUGUUGUUCAUGUUGCUGAUCCCACAUGAAGGCUUAGGCUGCUGGAUCAAAUUCCAAGAAACAUGUUUGCACAGCUGAGUCGUGUCCUGCACGCUUUUCUGAUGAUUUCAGUACUGUACUUGGGGACCAGCUCUGAGCAGCUGAUAACGACCUGUCACUGGAAUAGUGGGCGGUAUUCUCUAGAUUUUUUAAGCAUCUGUGUAGAUGAGCCUUCCAGGUUUGCUCACGUACACCUGGUUGUUUGCUACUCUAGGGUGCCUGGUAACCUGGAUCUUGAAGGACUAGAAAGGAAUGGGGUAGAGGUAGGGGUUGGGGGAGAGCUAGUUGAAGAGGCCUCUCAGGCAGAGGCCCCCAGAUUGCCAAGUUCCUAUUUCGUAUCAGUACCCCAGAACCAACAUAAACUACAGGACCUUACCUUAUCUCCCACUGGGUGGCCUGCCACGGCCAGCCACACCACCACUCUUUUCCACAUGCUGUUUCUCUACUGAGAAUGCCUUCUCUUAUACAUUUGCACACUUACACACUUUUUCAAGAAUAGCUCAGCUGUAAACCUCUUCCCCUAAGCCUUCUUGGGUGAUGCAGGAGUUAAGUGCCACUUACUCCACAUCUUUAUAACAGUUUACUUCCAUUUACAUUAAUGCCCACUGUAUUUUAGUCUUGUCAGUUCUACCUCCCAAGUGUGACAAAUUCGUUUUAUAUAAAUGAUAAUAUACAGUACAUCUGUGUGGUUAUUAUUAUUAUUACCUGCGUUCCUUUCUCCAUGAGGUCAGGUCAGCUCCCUGAGGUCAGGAGCUAUGAUUUCCAACUCUUCUACCUGUCAUACUCUAUAUGACA